AACGAACGCUGGCGGCAGGCUUAACACAUGCAAGUCGAGCGCGCAGCAAUGCGAGCGGCAGACGGGUGAGUAACGCGUGGGAACCUACCCUUUUCUACGGAAUAACGCAUGGAAACGUGUGCUAAUACCGUAUACGCCCUUCGGGGGAAAGAUUUAUCGGAGAAGGAUGGGCCCGCGUUGGAUUAGCUAGUUGGUGGGGUAAAGGCCUACCAAGGCGACGAUCCAUAGCUGGUCUGAGAGGAUGAUCAGCCACAUUGGGACUGAGACACGGCCCAAACUCCUACGGGAGGCAGCAGUGGGGAAUAUUGGACAAUGGGCGCAAGCCUGAUCCAGCCAUGCCGCGUGAGUGAUGAAGGCCCUAGGGUUGUAAAGCUCUUUCACCGGUGAAGAUAAUGACGGUAACCGGAGAAGAAGCCCCGGCUAACUUCGUGCCAGCCGCCGCCGUAAGAC
rnacentral:rRNA from 1 species